ACUAUUAUCCCCAUGUCAAACAUUUAUUUCCAAGGUUCCUUGAGGUGGCGUCAGAAUUACAUAAGAUCAACGAACGCACGCAGUUCAGUUCGGGCACGCUGUGUCAAAAUCAGUCGACUUUUCAAGGAUCUUAGAUUUGAAGAGUAAUUCUGCACCCCAGAAAGUGGUGAACUUAGAGCGUCAGGACCCGGAAGGAUGUUUUUUAUUGUCACAUGGCUUGCAGAUUUCAAUAACAACAAAAAAUGGCGACAAUCACGUUGUUCGCAGUAGGCUUGCUGCGUCAUUAAAAAUCUUCACGUAAACAUUGGAGUUCGGGGUAGAAAAUGCAAGAAUGUUAUGCAGAUGUUUGUUAGAUUAUUUGGCAGGCAUUUCCACUGUGCUAUAAUGGCAAACACGACGCGCUGAUGGAGUUGUUUACAAGAAGAGAUUCGCACGGAGGGCGGGGAUGAUGUGGGCGGUGCCUAGAGGAGCGCUGAACUGCCAGAGAACGCGAGCCAAGCAUGGAAGGCGGGGUUAGACUUACCAUAACAAGUCUGACGUCACAGGGGUGAUGUUUAUGAAUUAUUAAAACCUUGAAACGAA